CCUACGGGCGGCAGCAGUGAGGAAUAUUGGUCAAUGGGCGGAAGCCUGAACCAGCCAAGUCGCGUGAGGGAAUAAGGCCCUACGGGUCGUAAACCUCUUUUGCCGGGGAGCAAUAAUGGUCACGUGUGGCCAGACGAGAGUACCGUACGAAUAAGCAUCGGCUAACUCCGUGCCAGCAGCCGCGGUAAUACGGGGGAUGCAAGCGUUAUCCGGAUUUAUUGGGUUUAAAGGGUGCGUAGGCUGUAAGGUAAGUCAGCGGUGAAAUGCCCCCGCUCAACGGUGUGAAGUGCCAUUGAUACUGGCUUGCUGGAAUGCGGAUGCCGUGGGAGGAAUGUGUGGUGUAGCGGUGAAAUGCAUAGAUAUCACACAGAACACCGAUUGCGAAGGCAUCUCACGAAUCCGCGAUUGACGCUGAUGCACGAAGGCGUGGGUAUCAAACAGGAUUAGAUACCCCAGUAGUC
rnacentral:rRNA from 1 species